GGAGGGUGCGAGCGUUAAUCGGAAUUACUGGGCGUAAAGCGCACGUAGGCGGCUUGGUCAGUCGGAUGUGAAAGCCCCGGGGCUUAACCUGGGAAUUGCAUUCGAUACUGCCUGGCUAGAGUAUGGGAGAGGGAAGUGGAAUUUCCGGUGUAGCGGUGAAAUGCGUAGAUAUCGGAAGGAACACCAGUGGCGAAGGCGGCUUCCUGGCCCAAUACUGACGCUCAGGUGCGAAAGCGUGGGGAGCGAACAGGAUUAGAUACCCUGGUAGUCCACGCCGUAAACGAUGAGAACUAGAUGUUGGGAGGAUUUAACCUCUCAGUGUCGCAGCUAACGCGUUAAGUUCUCCGCCUGGGGAGUACGGCCGCAAGGCUA
rnacentral:rRNA from 1 species